rnacentral:rRNA from 1 species
GGCUAGAGUCUUGUAGAGGGGGGUAGAAUUCCAGGUGUAGCGGUGAAAUGCGUAGAGAUCUGGAGGAAUACCGGUGGCGAAGGCGGCCCCCUGGACAAAGACUGACGCUCAGGUGCGAAAGCGUGGGGAGCAAACAGGAUUAGAUACCCUGGUAGUCCACGCCGUAAACGAUGUCGAUUUGGAGGUUGUGCCCUUGAGGCGUGGCUUCCGGAGCUAACGCGUUAAAUCGACCGCCUGGGGAGUACGGCCGCAAGGUUAAAACUCAAAUGAAUUGACGGGGGCCCGCACAAGCGGUGGAGCAUGUGGUUUAAUUCGAUGCAACGCGAAGAACCUUACCUG